ACAAUUUGAGGGCAACGCAUGUCUGAGUACAGCGACCCUGACAGCAACAGAAUGGAACCAGCAGUGUCAUACGAGGAGGAGGACCUGGAUGGCCGGGAUGCAUUAAGGAAAGGCAUCUGGUACCAGGCCCUGGAUAAUGUACAAUACCAGCGGGGCGAGAGUCUCCCCAGUGAAGAGCAGCGGUUGCAGAAGCAAGUGGCCCUGCGGAUGCCCUUCCUGGGAGAGCAGCCCCUGGAUGAAAGGGUGAAGGAAUUGGAGCACCGGGUAUGGCAGGAGAUUUGUCUGGA